UGGGGAAUAUUGGACAAUGGGCGGAAGCCUGAUCCAGCAAUGCCGCGUGUGUGAAGAAGGCCUGCGGGUUGUAAAGCACUUUCGGUGGGGAGGAGAGGCUCUAGAGUAAUAUGCUAGAGCGGAGACGUUACCCACAGAAGAAGCACCGGCUAACUCUGUGCCAGCAGCCGCGGUAAUACAGAGGGUGCAAGCGUUAAUCGGAAUUACUGGGCGUAAAGGGUGCGUAGGUGGUUUUAUAAGUUAGGUGUGAAAGUCCUGGGCUUAACCUGGGGACUGCGCCUAAUACUGUAGAGCUAGAGUACUGUAGAGGGAGGUGGAAUUUCCAGUGUAGCAGUGAAAUGCGUAGAUAUUGGAAGGAACAUCAGUGGCGAAGGCGACUUCCUGGACAGAUACUGACACUGAGGCACGAAAGCGUGGGGAGCAAACAGGAUUAGAUACCCCCGUAGUCCCUGAGCGGGCUGGCAAGGCGCAU
rnacentral:rRNA from 1 species